rnacentral:rRNA from 1 species
GACGAACGCUGGCGGCGUGCUUAACACAUGCAAGUCGAACGGAAAGGCCCUGCUUUUGUGGGGUGCUCGAGUGGCGAACGGGUGAGUAACACGUGAGUAACCUGCCCUUGACUUUGGGAUAACUUCAGGAAACUGGGGCUAAUACCGGAUAGGAGCUCCUGCUGCAUGGUGGGGGUUGGAAAGUUUCGGCGGUUGGGGAUGGACUCGCGGCUUAUCAGCUUGGUGGUGGGGUAGUGGCUUACCAAGGCUUUGACGGGUAGCCGGCCUGAGAGGGUGACCGGCCACAUUGGGACUGAGAUACGGCCCAGACUCCUACGGGAGGCAGAAGUGGGGAAUAUUGCACAAUGGGCGGAAGCCUGAUGCAGCAACGCCGCGUGCGGGAUGACGGCCUUCGGGUUGUAAACCGCUUUCGCCUGUGACGAAGCGUGAGUGACGGUAAUGGGUAAAGAAGCACCGGCUAACUACGUG